CUCCGCCGCGUCGCCGCCGCAGCAGUCUGGACUCGCUACCCCGCUGGCCGGCCACUCCGGCGGGGAUGGCGCAGCCGGUGCCCUCUCGCUCUCCGGCGCGCCGCCAUCCGCAAGGUUUUCUUUCUUUUAGGUGUGUUUGGAGUUUGGACCAGGGGCAUCUGGCUGAUAUUUUGCUACUUCCUCCACUCCAGUCUCGUGCCAUGAUAUUUUGAGCAGAGGAAAUCCCUUCUGAAAGAGCCCCAGUGUGCUGUAUUUGGUGAAUUGACCAGAAUGAUGAUGGCAUUCAAGAGUAUUCCUCUCCAUGGACUUGCUGCUUUAAAAAAAUCCAGCAGCAAAGGCAAUCUUCCAGUUGGUGAUGACUCAUGGCUGAUGAGAUCUCCUGAUAUGCUUUGCCUACUCGGUGGAGAUUGGAGGCGCAAGCAAGCGAAGCAUUAAUAAAUAUUGGAGCCUUGCUUGUUUCUCUUAGUGCUUGAUUACACUGUCCAUGGUUCAGUCCAAAUUAGAACCUUAAAUCUUUAAUAUGGGGGUGUUUGCAGUUACCUCCCCCUCUUUGCAUUCUUCAAUAUUUUUUUCUGCAUGUGUUUAAUGUUCUUUACCAUUGUUUAUUUUCUUCUCAUAAAAGUUUCUGGGAAUUACAUCUUCUAUCAAAUUCAAUCAAAUAUAAUUAGCUUGUAUAUCUAAUUCUGGGAAUUA